rnacentral:lncRNA from 1 species
AAAGCCAAAACAAGUCCAUACACCCUAAUGUAAGCAUGAUCUAUUCUUUCCACUCCGAAUAAUUAGAACCAUUAAGCAUAGGAACAGAAUCACCAAUAAGAAUAAAGGAUGAAGUCAUAACUAAAAUAAAAUGCAUGUUUUAUCAAUAAAAAAUCACAUCAAAAAUUACCACACCAAAAUUAGAAAAAUACUCUUUAUAUGACAUUGCAACCCCUCCUUUGGGAGCAGAGUUAUGAGUAUAAGUAUUUUUCGUUCUUUAUGUAUAUUUUUUUAUAUGGCAUCACAAUCCCUCCAUUGAGAGCAGAGUUAUGAGCAUAAAUAUGCAAUCUCUUUAUCAGAGAUUAAUUUAAACUUUCUGUAGACCAUGAUAAUUUCAAAUUUUUCAUACGAAAAAAUUGUCAGUUUUGGCCAGGCAAAUUUCUCCAAACGAGUUGCAAGAAAAUUACCAUCCUACACCACCCAUUUACCUUCAUGUCUAGACCUCCUUUGGGAGCAAACUAAACAUAAUAUUAGGGUGCAAUUUUCUCAUGCACUUUUUUUAAGUAAUUAAUUUAUCUUUUCUUCCGGUCGGGGCCGCUUUGGCUUGCACCCGAACAGUUGAAGCAAUAAAUUAAUCUGACUUAGUGAUGCAUGAUUAAUAUGAAAAUUAUCCGAAAGCACUACUUUAAAGUAAAUUAAAUUAUUAUUUCUUUUAAUUAGGGCCGCUUUGGCUUCCACCUAGCCAAUCGAAAUAAUAACUUAAUUCAACUUAGCGCCAAACAUUAAAUAAUCAAAAAACAAUUAUGAUUAUUUAUCUUUCAUGUUUAUCCGGUCAAAAUAAAAAUAUAGAUGCGAUAAUUUAAAAUAUGACAUCGCAAUCAAAUUUAAACUCUAUAUAUUCUAAUUUAACCACAAAUAUAAUAUAAAUAAAUUUAUGAUAAAUUAAUAUUGUAUGUAAAAUUAAAUCCUUAUGUGAACGGAUUCUUUAUAUUCACAAUGCUUUAAUAGAUAUGAAAGCUCCAACGGAUCGAAUUUGGAUGAAUAAAGAAGUUUAAGUAGGUAAUAUG